rnacentral:rRNA from 1 species
GACGAACGCUGGCGGCGUGCUUAACACAUGCAAGUCGAACGGAAAGGCCCUGCUUUUGUGGGGUGCUCGAGUGGCGCACGGGUGAGUAACACGUGAGUAACCUGCCCUUGACUUUGGGAUAACUUCAGGAAACUGGGGCUAAUACCGGAUAGGAGCUCCUGCUGCAUGGUGGGGGUUGGAAAGUUUCGGCGGUUGGGGAUGGACUCGCGGCUUAUCAGCUUGUUGGUGGGGUAGUGGCUUACCAAGGCUUUGACGGGUAGCCGGCCUGAGAGGGUGACCGGCCACAUUGGGACUGAGAUACGGACCAGACUCCUACGGGAGGCAGCAGUGGGGAAUAUUGCACAAUGGGCGGAAGCCUGAUGCAGCAACGCCGCGUGCGGGAUGACGGCCUUCGGGUUGUAAACCGCUUUCGCCUGUGACGAAGCGUGAGUGACGGUAAUGGGUAAAGAAGCACCGGCUAACUACGUG